rnacentral:lncRNA from 1 species
UCUCUUUCUCAAGAUCCCUCUUUUGUGAAGCUUUUCAUUGCAAGCUUAAAUCUCCAGAUAUGGAUGGCAGCUGAGGGGCAGUCUGAUAGAAUGGUGCCUGACAUGGAAAUGCAUACAAAGAAAAUGUGGGCCAUUGAAUUCCUCCAUGCAGAAAAAAAUGGCACACACUGACGUUCAUUGCUGCUUGAUGAAUGUUUAUAGAGACUGAAAAUGGAUAUGAGCACAGUGAGGCAGUGGGUGCUGUUUCAACAGUGGUGACAGUGGGUCACCUUUGCUGGUACAGAUUUUGACAAGCACAGCAUGGAGACUCUUGUUCAUUGCUGGCAAAAAUGCAUAGUUAAUGGUGGUGACUGUUGAAAAAUAGUGAUGUGUAACUGAGAAAUUGGUGUAUCCAUUAAUGUUCUCUUUGUAUCUGUUGUAUACCUACAUAUAAUAACAAACUAUAGUGGAGAUACAACUUCCAAGUACAUCCCAAGCACAUUUUUUUCUGUUUGAAAACUGAAUAGAUUGUCUAACAUACAUUUUUGUCUCUAAAAUAGCAUUUUAGCUUGCCAGAAUAGUCAUGCUUCUUACAAACCUUUUCCGGUGUAAAACAGAACUGAAAUCUUCAUGGAAACAAUCUUAAAUAAAAUACCAUUCUGAAAUACUUCAUUCGCUCUGAAAACAAAAUGGCAUGUAAUUCUUAGAAAGCAUUAUAAUACUUAUAAAAAAAAUUAUGCCUACAUAAAUCUUACAAAUAUAAACACUGUACAAAGAAAGCAAGGGUCUAAUCUCUGAUUACCAUGUUUGCCUCUGCAGAAAUGGGCUUUUUUAAUGCAUUUCUUUAUAGGGUCAAACGCAUUUAACUCUUAAACUCUAAGAUUAAGAGGAUUAUCUAUGGAUUAUCUAUACAUAUAUGUGACAGCGCUGCUUGCUGAUGUCCUUUGCUGAGAACAAUAACCCAAUUUUCACAGUACUCUGAAUUCUACAUUAGCCCACCAACACCAUCAUGAUGGACCAGGUCUGGUACAGCAGAUUACUUAACUGAAGCAUUUUUUUUGCAAGUUACCCAUGUGCCACAAAUUUAGAGGGACACUAUAUUGUAUAAGUCUUUUACUUUUAAUAUGGCACAACAAGCACUCAGUGUUUCCGUUUUUGCAGACUUUCUUCUCACAGAGAAAUGAAGCAUGCUGAAUGUAUCCUUUUGCAACCGUCACAUGAGGUGGAAUCAAGUCUCUAAAUGUGCAGGGGACUGGCAAAGUAGCUGGAGAAAUAAAUCUGAAACUGUUAAAUUAUUUAGUGAUCGUUCUGAACUCAAGGUGAUCUCCAUUAGUAUGGAAGAAGUUCUUAUAUAUUACUGGAGAAAUUCUUUGACUCACAAACUCUCAGGUAUACUCUG